GACGUAGGGCGCGAGCGUUGUCCGGAUUUAUUGGGCGUAAAGAGCUCGUAGGCGGCUUGUCGCGUCGACUGUGAAAUCCCGCGGCUCAACCUCGGGUCUGCAGUCGAUACGAGCAAACUAGAGUGUUGCAGGGGAGACUGGAAUUCCUGGUGUAGCGGUGAAAUGCGCAGAUAUCAGGAGGAACACCGGUGGCGAAGGCGGGUCUCUGGGCCGAUACUGACGCUGAGGAGCGAAAGCGUGGGGAGCGAUCCGG
rnacentral:rRNA from 1 species